UACGGGGGGGGCAAGCGUUGUCCGGAUUUAUUGGGCGUAAAGAGCGUGUAGGCGGCUAGGUAGGUCCGUUGUGAAAACUCGAGGCUCAACCUCGAGACGCCGAUGGAAACCAUCUAGCUAGAGUCCGGAAGAGGAGAGUGGAAUUCCUGGUGUAGCGGUGAAAUGCGCAGAUAUCAGGAAGAACACCCGUGGCUAAGGCGGCUCUCUAGUACGGUACUGACGCUGAGACGCGAAAGCGUGGGGAGCGAACAGG
rnacentral:rRNA from 1 species